rnacentral:ncRNA from 1 species
AAAGUUUUAUUUUGACUUGAAAUUUUAAUUUAUCAUUAUUUUAUAUGUGUUUUUUAGAUUAAAAAUUUUAUUUGCAGUAUUUAAUAUUAAAUAAUUAUUUAAGUAAGUUUUAGUAAUUGAUUAUUAAGAAUUAAUAAAAUUUGUGCCAGCAAUUGCGGUUACACAAAUGAUUCAAUUAAAAUUUAUUGGUUAAUAAUAAUUUUGUUUAUUAGAAUUUAAAAUUAAAAUUUUAAGGUGAAAUUUAAAUUUUAAUUUAUUUUCUUUUUUUUGAUUUGAGGUUAUUAAAGUUAGUAUUAAACUAGGAUUAGAUACCCUAUUAUUAUAACUGUAAAAUUUAAUACUAGAUUAGUAUUAGUUAUUUUCUUGAAAAUUAAAAAAUUUGGCGGUAUCUUAGUCUAUUCAGAGGAACCUGUCCUGUAAUUGAUAAUCCACGAUUAGUUUUACUUUUCUUUUUCUUGUAUAUCGUUGUUUUUGAAUAUUUUAUAAGAAUUUAAAUUUUCAAUAAGUAUAUAUUAGUUUAUUUCAGAUCAAGGUGCAGAUUAUAGGAAAGAAGAGAUGGGUUACAAUAAAAUUAUUUUUUGUUUAAUAUUUUAAAUAGUUUUAUUAAAUUGGAUUUGAUAGUAAUAUUUUAUAUAUUUGAUAUGUGAUUUUAGCUCUAAGAUGUGUACAUAUUGCCCGUCGCUCUCAUUAUUUUGAGAUAAGUCGUAACAAAGUAGAUUUACUGGAAAGUGUAUCUAGGAUUAAUAAU